AUUUAUGAGUGUCAUGUGCUGGAAUCCGUACACAGAUUUACAUAUAGAUUAUUUGCAUCGCAGCUCAUGCUUCAGGAGGUUUAUAACUCUGAGUCUGAACACUGAGAAUCUAAUUAAACCAACAGCAACCAUGAGCUUCAUCUUCAUCAUCUUCAUCUGGAUGUUCUCCAGCUGUUUCACAGAAUCUGUUGGUGCAGUGACAGUCACUCAGACGCCGGCAGUGAAAUCUGUUCCUCUAGGAGACACAUUUACUAUAUCCUGUAAAACCAGUCCUGACGUCUAUCAGGGUUGGGGUGUUCAGCCUUUAUCCUGGUACUUACAGAAACCUGGAGAAGCUCCUAAACUCCUGAUUUAUCUCACAAACCGCCUCCAGUCAGGAACUCCAUCUAGAUUCAGUGGCAGUGGAUCUAACAGUGAUUUCACUCUGAGCAUCAGUGGAGUCCAGACUGAAGAUGCUGGACAUUAUUACUGUCAGAGUGCACACUACAUCAACAACUGGGUGUUCACACAGUGA